CAAGAUUAUCGCUAAUCAAAUCUGAAGUUUGGGUAUGAAAUAGCGACAAAUUAUGUUCUGCAGUUGACAACUUGACCUGUUGACGAUACAGAUAGUCUUCAAGCCAAAUCUUUGUCAUUAACCAAGCAAGCUGAAGCAGCACAUUGGAAUGUGUUUCUGUUGUUACUGUCAUGCCACUGACUUAACCAGGCAAAUGUCAUAGCUACUGAGCUGGAAGCUUUUAUAAUUAUUGACUGUAAAUUUUAUAAGUUUGAUGUGUUAAUGUGAUAAAAAAUGUAGGUACCAAAAUAAAAGUGGACAUUAUAGUUUA